rnacentral:rRNA from 1 species
UACGUAGGCAGCGAGCGUUGUUCGGAAUUACUGGGCGUAAAGAGUGUGUAGGCGGUGCUCUAAGUUCGGUGUGAAAUCUCCUGGCUCAACUGGGAGGGUGCGCCGGAAACUGGAGUGCUUGAGCGUGGGAGAGGAAAGCGGAAUUCCUGGUGUAGCGGUGAAAUGCGUAGAUAUCAGGAGGAACACCUGUGGUGUAGACGGCUUUCUGGACCAUAGCUGACACUGAGACACGAAAGCGUGGGUAGCAAACAGG